UGAAAUAUAUUAUUUGUAUUAAUGAUGUCAUAUUAAAAAUAAAUACAUAAAUAUCAUAUUACAAGUUUUAAUGUAAAAUAUUAUCCUAUAAAACUUACACCAACAUAUCCAUGGUAGAAAAAAUAUUUGUAUCAAUGGUCAUCUUAGUGAUCCCUUUUAUCAUCCAACUUGAACAUGUCUUCCUUGAUGGCCUAUUGUAUGGAUUUCCAAAAGACUAGGCACUUAGUCUU
rnacentral:lncRNA from 1 species